rnacentral:rRNA from 1 species
AUUGAACGCUGGCGGCAGGCCUAACACAUGCAAGUCGAACGAGUGGCGGACGGGUGAGUAAUGUCUGGGAAACUGCCUGAUGGAGGGGGAUAACUACUGGAAACGGUAGCUAAUACCGCAUACCAUCGGAUGUGCCCAGAUGGGAUUAGCUAGUGGGUGGGGUAACGGCUAACCUAGGCGACGAUCCCUAGCUGGUCUGAGAGGAUGACCGGCCAAACUGGAACUGAGAAACGGCCCAGACUCCUACGGGAGGCAGCAGUGGGGAAUAUUGGACAAUGGGCGCAAGCCUGAUGCAGACAUGCCGCGUGGAUGAAGAAGGCCUUCGGGUUGUAAAGUACUUUCAGAGGGGAGGCGUUACCCGAAGAAGAAGCACCGGCUAACUCCGUGCCAGCAGCCGCGGUAAUUC